rnacentral:rRNA from 1 species
GCGCAGCAGUCGAGAAUUUUGGGCAAUGGGCGCAAGUCUGACCCAGCGACGCCGCGUGAGGGAUGAAGUCCUUCGGGAUGUAAACCUCUGUUGAGGGGGACGAUAAUGACGGUACCCCUCGAGGAAGCCUCGGCUAACUCCGUGCCAGCAGCCGCGGUAAUACGGAGGAGGCAAGCGUUGUCCGGAAUCACUGGGCGUAAAGGGUGUGUAGGUGUCCUGAUGGGUCAGGUGUGAAAUCCAACAGCUUAACUGUUGAACUGCAUCUGAAACUAUCGGGAUUGAGGACAUGAGGGGAGAGUGGAACUCGCGGUGUAGCGGUAGAAUGCGUGGAUAUCGCGAGGAAUGUCGAUGGCGAAGGCGGCUCUCUAGCGUGUUCCUCGUAUGAGGAGCCGAAUAAUUUUAAUCUUCGGGUUAUGAUUAUUCGGUCCUGACACUGAAACACGAAAGCUGGGGAGCGAACGGGAUUAGAUACCCGUGUAGU